rnacentral:lncRNA from 1 species
AAGUAUUCUGUUGAUCAGCUGUCUGUCAUUUUCUUGUUAUUUCUUAUACUUCUUUGUAACGUGUGUCUGUGGAGUGCCGAUUAUCUCUGUAAUGGCAAACAAUGAUCAUCCUUUCUUAAUGAAGGAGGUGGAAUGUUGAGUUGUUGACAUGCUACUGUUGGAAUUUGAAGUAUCUUCUCAACCAAUGAUUAUGUUGUAACAUUUUUACAUAUCUCAAAUUCUCAAUCAACAUGUAACUCUUGUUUAUACCCUUUCCUACAACACAAAUUUCAUUGCUUGCAAAAGUGAAGAUUUUGACCCUCAAACCAUACCAUGUUUGGCACUUCAAUGACAGGGUGAAGAGUAGUUGGGUACUGCGAUAUCCUGCCACGAUGGUUGCUAUCACAAGAGCAUUCCUCCGGUGGCAGUUUAUUUGUUAAAUUGCUAGCACUUUGAAUCAAGAUUCUCUGUUCAACACGCGCAGGGAAUGAAAAGCAGAAAUCACCAGGUUCCUAUUCUUUUUCUUGGUCUUUAUAGGGAGCUUUUCAUAUAAAACUGUUUCCGGCUACUUUUUCCAAGCAUCAUGUACUGUCUCCUUGGUUUGCUUGAUUGAAAAAAAAACACCAUCACUGCAAAGCAAUUACACAGAAAAUGGUGUUAUCAUCGAGAGUUUUAUUUUCCCUUGUAGAGUUUUUGGAUGUAAAAAUACUUGUCACAUAAGUAGUUGAUAGCGACGUGCAAGAAUUUUGUACAUACACACACAAUACUGUAUAGAAACAUUUUUUUUACUCGACUACACAUGCACAUAGUCACAAUGUUUUUGUAUGAAGGAAUUAAAUUUUGUUUGAGUUAUUUUUUAUUUAAGAAAUUAAACCAGGAAAUUUUGUUUAACAUUGAGUUGAUAUGUUAAACAGUAUCACAAAAAUAUUAGUAACUCAAUAGAGGGAGGGAAAGAAAGUAAGAAACUAAUAUUCCCUUUGCCGAUAAGAACUAUAGGUUUAUAUAUGUUUCCUAGCCUUGGCAUUGUUUAAUAUAACAUCCAAUUCAUUAAUUAGAACAAAAUAGCAGCACCAGCUCUUUCGUUCUCUUAUAAACGGGGACACUGCUAUUAACCACCGAAGCAUGACAGGUUUGGAUUAUUAAUGCUUCACGAUUUCCACUUUUAAAACUCAAAACACAUCAAUUCGUUAGUAUAAGAGUAGCUCAUGUUGUGUAAAACUAAAAUACAGUCUUUGAGAAUUUAUUUGCUUGGGGCAAAAAAUCUUGAUAACUUAACAAUCAUUUCAUGAUUUGAACUAGGUUGCAGAACAACAAAAUAAAUUAUCACCAAAUAGUGAGGAAAAGUUUUUUUUACCUUACAAAAAGGAGGGAGGCAAUAGGCUAUGGAGUUUUCAAAAAGUUACUGCCUAUCAUUAAUGUGAAACAUAAAUGCAAAGAAUAAACAAUGACAAAACUGAAAUUUUCUUUUCAAAGAACACUGCGGAGCAUACAAAAAGGCAACUGGUUCAUGCUUCUAGUUUCAAGGAAACAAAAGAUCUUGGAGAGUACCUUGGAAUCCCUUUAUCGGGCAGAUCGCCUAUGAGAGGAGAUUAUCAAUACAUUAUUGAUCAGGUUAAGGCAAAGUUGGAAGCCUGGAAAAGUGAUCAUCAGUCAUUUGCUGGGAGAGUCACUCUAGCUAAAACAGUUAUCGAAGCCACCCCCACUUAUUCUAUGAUGACCAGUACCCUGCCAAAAGAUAGUCUGAAAGAGAUUCAGAAGAUUCAAAGGUCCUUUAUUUGGGGAGAUUUUGAAGCCGAUAAGAAAGCUCAUACAGUUAGCUGGGACAAUAUUACUAAGCCUAAGAAUAUGGGAGGAUUAGAAAUAAGAAACCUUACUGACAUGAACAAGGCGCGUCUCUUCAAACUUGGAUGGAGUUUAAGAAGUGGUGAUAAUUCUGUGUGGUGCCAAGUCCUGCAGGGAAAAUAUGGAAGAAAAGAUGGAAGUCUCAUUGAUCUGGCAACCAAGGCCUAUGAUUCUAGCUUAUGGAAAUCAAUAGAAAAUAUCUGGCCUGAGGUGAACAAUAUGGUGCAGUGGAGAGUUGGAAACGGACAGAGAGUCAAUGUUUGAAAGGAUGCUUGGAUUCCAACCGAAAAUACGUUGGAAGUGUUUGAAACAAGCAACACCGAGGAUAACCACAUGGAGCAUGUUAAGGAUCUCCUUGAUGAUAGGCGUGAUUGGAACUUGGAAAUGCUUAACAGAACUUUCCCUCAAAAUAUAGUAGAUGUUAUCUUGACUGAAAAGCCUCCUAAUCAGGAGAGAGGUGUUGAUAUCUGCAUUUGGAAAGGGAACCAUUCAAGUUUGUUCUCCAUCACAAGUGCUUAUGAGUUAAUAAGAUGUAAAGACCUUGGUGAUAACUCAGGAUUGGAUUAAAAUCUGGAAGCUGGAUGUUCCUGAGAGAGUUAGAACCUUUGUUUGGUUGGUGAAAAACAAUAGCUUAAUAACCAACCAAUGGCUCUAUAUAAGGAACUUAAAUUCGCAAUUCUGCAAUGAUUGUUAUGGUGAAGAGGAAUCCGUUAUUCACGUGCUUCGUGACAUGUGAAAACCAUCUGGUGUGAACUAGUGGAGGAUCAAUACUUGCAAAUAUUUUUCAACUGUAACCUGCAGGAUUGGAUUUUUAUCAACCUUUCAGGCAUAACAGAUAAAUAUUGGAGCAGCCAUAAGUUUUGGUACCAGAAGAAUCAGAGGAAACACAAUAAAGACUAUGUAAUGCCUUACAACUUGAAGAACAACAUCUGUAGAGAAGUGGCUCGGUACAAAGAGAGUUGUUCUCUGUUAAAGAAGGUUACUCAACUGCGGAAAGUCAUACAAAUGAUCAAGUGGACACCUCCCAACGAAGCAUGGUUUACGCUGAAUACUAAUGGAGUUGUCAAGAAGAACAAGGAAGCAGGGUGCAGGGGCUUAACUCAGGAGCUUGGCGUGGAGGUUUUUCCCACAGAAUGGGAAUAGCUUCAACUCUUGAGUCUGAGCUGAAAGCAAUACAAAUUGGUCUUCACCUGCCUAUGAUAGUGGAUACUGAAAAAUUCACUUGCAAAUUGAUAACAAGGAUGUUUAUCAUGCUCUCACUAGGAAUAAGCCGAUCACCAUGUUUAACAAAAAUAUGCUAGUGAACAUGGAGCAGAAGCUGAGCAGAGAUUGGGAUAUAAGAGUAUCCCAUGUUUACAGGGAGGCAAACAAAACUGCGGAUGCUUAGCCAACCUAAGUUUCAACCAUGACACCGGAAUCUUUUUGUAUGACAGCUGUCCUAUGGAGGUGACUCCGUCCUUUUUGUUGGAUUUGGUAGGGGAGGUCUCUCCCCGGGUCGUUCGUGUGUAGUUUCUCUUUGUUCUGGACUUUUAUCCCUCCCUUUUAUCAAAAAAAGAAAUAAAUCAAAACACGUACAAAGUAUAACUUAACAACUUAUGAUAUCUACGGUUUCUAUAGUAAUAGAACAUUUCUUAACGCACCCUAUAUGUUUCUACUGCACCAUGCAAAAUUUAAAAAAUGUUCCCAGUUUCUGGAGAUGCAUCUCCGGACGCAUCCAAUGCAUACAAUUCAUUCGUUUUUAAAUCAAACCCCAAUUUUAUGGAUAAAUUAAUUUCAGAAAUGUAUUUUCGGAAAAUUUCCGAAAAUAUAUUUCCGAAAAUAGCAAUGUUAACUUUUUGCACUUGCAAACGAAGCUUGGCAAUCCUAGCAUUGGAGCUUCUCUUAGACACUACUACUGAUGGGAAAAUUAUCUUCCAAGCCAAAUUUAAACGCUCCAAUAAACUCAUAUUAACAGCAUCAAGGAGAAAGUUCUCGGCUUUUUGGCUAACUCCACGCAUAUUGCUUCGUACAAUGGCCAUGGUAGAAUGUUUUGGAGUGAAUUCAGAUCUGCUGGAUCCUCCAGUUAAGAAACAAUGAAAAUUAAGAGAUGAACAGGACGCCAUUUUCAAACAUUUUAUAAAUCUUGUAAGGAUUUUUAUUUGCGAAAACAUGAACAUUUAUCAACAGUGUAACAUUUAAGAAGUCAAGCCUCAACUAACUAAAACAAUUUCAGCUAUAAAUAUAAUUGAAUAACAUUAUAUAGAACCUUUUUCACCUAUACAAAAUAUCAGAAAGGAAAACAUAUGUAUUGCAUUCUCUUUUAGCAACUGAAGUAAAUAGCACAAAAUGGCAAAAUAGCAAAGUGUAGGUAGAAAGUUAACAUUGCUGCUUCCGGAAAUAUAUUUUUGGAAAUUUUUCGAAGAUGCAUUUCUGGAAUAAAUUUAUCCAUAAAAUUGGGGUUUUAUUUAAAAACGAAUGAAUUGUGUGUCUUGGGUGUGUCCGAAAAUGUAUCUUCAAAAAUUGAGGGUAUUUUUGGAAAUUCGCGUGAUGCAGUAGAAACAUAUAGGGUGCGUAAAGAAAUACUCUAACAGUAUACGCAAAUAGAGACAUAAUGGAGGCCCAAUCAUAACACUCUUUCUUAGUAUAGUAGUAAGAAAAGUUUUAAGGGGGUGGCAGGAGUAAUAGAAACUGAGAGUAGUGUAGAAAAUAUAACAGAAAGAGAGAGAAAACGAGGGAAAAUGUAAUCUCUAUAUAUUUUGUAUAUUUCAUCAAAUGUGAGUUAGUUACAUAAUGCUGAGGAAUGAGUAUUUUUUUUCCGUGGUUUAAUUAUUAUUUAGUUGUUCGUUUUGUUGCAAUUCACAAAGAUUCAUUCUGCUUUGUAAUUUGAAAAAUCACAGAAACUACUUUUCUCUUGAUUCUGGAAUUUGACAGAAUAAUAAAAUAGAUCCAACUUUAUGAGGCUUAUACUUUGCAGCUUUUCCAACCGGAUCUGCUUCAUUACAUUUCAAUGGAAUCUUAGACAGUUAAUGACCCUUUAUGUCAUUUUAAAGUAAAUACAUUUCUUCACAAAGAAGCAUGAACACUUCACAUGGGAUCAAGAAACGGAUGCAUAUCUUUGUGAUAUCAUAUUCUUGAUUCUUAAUUUAUACAUUAAACAUUUGACUUUGAAUAGGUCAUAUGUAACCUCCCAUACAGUAAGUCAAUGUAUGCCAGCACAUAGCUUCUAUUUGUCUGCAAGUUUUAUCACCCAACAUUGUAGGGUAUAGACAUGAAAGUUAAGAUAUGUCAAACAAGUAUGCACAGGCCCUGCCCCGCAAAAGUUUGCAAAAAAACGGGGUGGGACGAGAUGGACAUAUUAGAGAGUGCAGAUCUAAAACUUUGGUCCGUCCUGUAAAAAAGUUCGGAUAAAAUAGAUAUGUCUAACAGGCUGAGUCCAUUUUAUCACCCUAAUAAGGAGUAUCUUUUAUACAAACAUUUCUCCGUCCUCUUAACUAAUCAACCACUUACAUUCACUUAUAGAAAAAGUUAUUGACAAUUAAUGUUAAAAGUUGCAUUUGGUCAAUGCUCAAUAGCAAGUUCUUCUUUGAUGAGUUUUAGCUCUUUUUGUAGUCCAAUAAUUUUGUCUGUUGUUUUAAGUGGAGAAUCAUAUCACCAUGAAUGAGGCCAAAGUCAAUUGGAUUGAUGGUUCAAAUCAAUGCACUAGAAGUGAAAGAUGAUUACUGUGAGUGUGAAGUGCCCUUAUCGGCAUUACCUUAGUUCAUGGAAGGAAUAUUGAUUUGCUACUUCUCAAUGUGAAUUCUCUUUUCCCUACAUAAUCAUUAGUGGCACUUUUCUCUUUAUUACUUGCAAUUUAAGCCACACAAACCGUUGCUAAAGCAUUUUCAUGUGCUAAUAUGAUUAGUUACCAUUGUUCUUUUUUACCACAUAUUUUUUAGGAGGAAGUUGAUUCAUUUAAUUUGAGAUUUAUUUUGGUUCAGAAUUGUUGGCCAAUCUAAUCACAGAUAAUGAGAAAGUCGGAAAGGUAAAACAAAUUCAUGUAUAUUCGAAUAUCCAUUUUGUUCACAUAUCACUUCUAGUAGUUGACUCAUGCAGGUAGCAUGAUUAUAAAUUUCCGUGUGCAAAUUUAAAUUUGAGCCACAACUUUGAAGUUUUGGAGGUACUCCAAGUGUAAGUUUGGAGUCAAAAACAAUUUUGAAAGUGUAAAAUUAAUUUUGAUAGUUUUGAGAUGUAUGGUUAUUCUCUGCCACUAGAAUUAUUCUAUUUGAAAUUAGAAUUUAUAAUUUCUAAGUUUAAACAUGAUUUUUAUAUUGGAAUUUAGUGUUCAACUCAGUUUUGUAUAAUAUUAUCAAAACAUAAAUCACUUUAUAUUCAACUCAAUUUUGCAUAAUGCUAUCCAAACAUAAAUCACUUUACCUUCAAUUCACUUUUAACCAUAAUCAAUUUUAUAGAAACAAUUCACUCAAAAUUAAUUUUUUCCACCCUAUGAGGUGUGUCCCACACUUCUGAAUGAGGUGUGUCUCACACUUUUGAAAACUCGAAAAUACAUUUCACGUGUCUCGAGAUGCAUCCAAGGAUGUACGUAAAAUCAAAUCAACCCUCGUAAUUCAGUCACACGCCUUAGUUUUGCAAAAUCUUGAUACAAAGACGCAUCUCUGUAAAUUUUUUGGAAUGAAUACGGAGAUACAAUUCCGUAACCCUCUGAAUUUAUUUUAAAUUAUUGGAAGCGCGUUUAUUGUAUAUAACAGAGGAUAUUUCGUAAAUUAUUGGAAGCGCGUUUAUUGUAUAUAACAGAGGAUAUUUCGGAGAUACAUCUCAGUAUAUUCUCAUGAGUGCAUUCUAGGCAACAACGUUGUCUAAAAUUUAUCAUUUUUUAGGCCAAUUUAUAUUUUAGGUAAUUUUAAGUCAUAAAUUAGAAAAUUCAUACAUUAAUUGAUUAAAAUAUGUUACACAUACAUUUUAAAAGUCAUUCAUUAGUCAAAGUAAAUUCACAAUGUGUCGACCAUACAUAACUUGAUUCGAAAAUACAAAAAAAAAUACAAUCAAACAUAAACUACUCAGUAUGUCUAACCCCCCGGUUUCUCCCCCUAUACUACAAGGCAUUUUGUAUCUCGACAAUAAUGCCUUCUACGAGGGUCAAUUGGGGGUUGCCUUCCUAAAAAAGUCCAACCUCUAUGCUCAAUCUCGCCAAAUCAUAAUAUGUCGACAAACACUGCUUACGUCCCGGGUGUGGUCAUCUUUAUCCUAUAGUACCUCUUAAUUAGAAGGCCUAUGUGGUCUUCUAAGAGCGUCUGAUGUCAUGAUAGGAAGUGACACCAUAUAGAACCAUGUCAUGUAGUCGUCUACAUUAGCACAAUGUGCAAGAGCUGGCACUCUACGAUAGUCCUAUGGUACCAAUGAUUAUCGAAAUCCUCAAGUAUGACAUCAACCUCUUUGCGAUGGACGAUGGGAGGUGCAGACUCUGAGAGGUGUCUCAGAAUAAUCUACAAAUACACAAAUUGGCGUAUCACUCACUUGGGAAGAUACAUAUAUAUCAGAGCUGACCCGCAAGCCGGUUAUUCAGAGUAUAAUAAAAUGACGUAAAUCUGACGCGUCUCGCGGUGACCACUGUAUGGGUAGCAAUGUCAACUGCUACAUGUAGGUCAAGAUACACCCAUAAUGGCACAAAUAUGAACAUGUCAACCAGGAACAAGAGGUAACACCUCAUUGCAUAUUGUCGGUGGUACUCAACCCGCAUAUCAUCAUUGCCGGCAUCCAAAAUCAUCUAUAAAUGGUCUUUAUACAAUUCUGUCAAGAACUUAAAUCUAGCAUGAGCACCUCUGGUGUCAUCUACCUCAUUCGUGAUCUCAGUUGGGUAAACUCCCAAAUGGGUGACCAUCAUCUUGACGACUUCGUCUCGACUGAUCCUUCAAUGGUCCAAUAUUUUCCUCAUAUGGGAAGAUGCAGGAGGCAUGAGACGUCAUCCAAGGUGAUGAUCAUCUCACCAAUUGGAAGGUGGAAAAACGACGUCUCUGAAUUCCAUCUCUCUACAAAUUCCGUCUGCAUGCCAUGGUUUAUGGUAGUGUACGCAAAAACACAUAAGUCGGUAAGCACAUAGUAGCGGAUAACAUCUUAAAGCAGUCAGCGUCGGUCUGUUCCACUUCCAAAAUCUUUCUUUAGUGGUUUACAAAUUUUAAACAUGGACACUAUUGUAAAUAUAUAUAUAUAUAUAUAUAUAUAUAUAUAUAUCACCAUCAGUCGUGAUUAAAUUAGUUUAAAACCGAUGUAAUGCAAAAUUAAAUAAAUAUACCUCUCCUUUCUAGAAAUUACCUAGCAGCAUGGUCUCCAUAGAGAUGAAGUAAGAAGGUGUCAAAUGGACCUCCUGGAUAACUAUCUAUAUGAGCAUUAGCAGCAGGUUCCUCAUAGGCUUCAAGGGUGUCCCGUGAAGCUGAUUCUUGAGACCGACAACUACGGGAAGUAAAACCAGAUGGUUGUGGACCUCGACCUUGUAAACCAUCAAAUGAGGUAUCAUCGACUCGUGGCCCUGCCCAUGGCCCUUUCACGUAGAUACACAUUUUGGGACACACGACCGAGCCUAAUUCGGUCUUGGUUGUUUCCAACCAUUACACCUGUAAUGAAACUAAAAAAAUCACAUCAAAUUGUAACCAAAAUGCAGCCAAUCUAAAUCCUGAGAUAUAUCUUCGAAAACAGUCCAUAAAAAUUUAGGAGACGCAUCUCCGGAUGAACUCAUAAUUUUCAGCAAUGGAAGAAACCCCAUUGAUGCCCUAAAUUCCAACCAAAUGAAAAUGCAUGUCUAUACCAGCUACCUAUUUAAAAUGUGCUACUAUCUAAUGCAUCUUAAAGAACCUAUGUUAUCUAUAAUUUCAUUCAAAUCUAAAAAAAAAGAUAUGAAAUGAUAAAGUUACCAAAUUAGAGUUGUGGAUAAGAAAUUUGAAUGAACCGGGUGACUUUGCAACAAACCAAGUAGAAUGGAGUGAGUGAACUUGAAGAAUCUUCAAGGAACUUUCUCAAAUGGGGUUUGUAAAUGACUUUGGAUAAAAUAAGCUCAAAUGAGGAUUUUUAGUGUUUGCACAAAAUAAAGGAGGAAGAGGGAAAGAUCUAACGCGAGGAUAUGAAACAAAUGCGUCCAAAGAUGCAUCUUUAAAAAAUUAUUGAAUUUUGAAUUAAGAGAUUUUACGAAGAUGCAUCUCCGAACUCACCCUAUUGUUGAAACGAAGAUGCAUCUCUGGAUUAAAUGUUGACAAAAUAAGGGUGCCUCACUAAUCUGCGUUGAUGAUUGUGUUAGAAAGGGUGCAUCCGGAGAUGUCAAGGGAAAUUAUAACUUUUCACGAUGGUAGAGGAGCACCCCAUGGGAUAGGAAAAGUAUUGUUCAAAUUAUAAUUGUGGUAAAGGAGUCUUAGUGAUGUUUGUGGUGUUGUUUCAGUUGAUUUUAAAGAUUUUUUUAAUCAUAUCUAAAAAUAAAAUUACUCGCUGUUAUGAAUGAUUAAUUAAAAAAUCGAUCUAUUCAAUAUAAUUUUAUGUAACUUAAUUAAAAUUAGUUGUUAAAUAUUUAAAUUACAAAUUAUAAUUUAUUAAUAUUUAUAUUAUAAAAAUGUAUCAAAUUAUAGAUUUGAAGUAAUAUGUAACAUAUAAUAUAUUAAAAAAUUGGCUGUGUAAGGAUAAAAAAUAAUGAUAACUAAAAUAAAUAGUUUUUAGCAAAAAUAAUUUCUAUAUAUUAAUCUAAUUUGGCAUAAUAAAAUAAAAGAUAAGAAAUACAAUAAUUUGUUUAUCCAGUUCGAUCAAACGAUUUAUUAUGGAAAAAAUAGUAAUUCUCCGAUUCACUUUAUAAAUAAAAUAAUCAUCCAAAAUUUUAAAAGAAAUUCUAUUUUUUACUCAAGUGUUUGACAAACUUUCAAACAAUUUAUAUAAGAAUCACACAAAUUCAAAAAAUUUAGAAGUGUUUUACGAUCUACGUAGAUAUAUAUUCCAAGGAUUUUUCAAAUUCCAAUAACACACUCUUAUGAGUUUAUCCUUGUCCACUAUCAAACAUUUAUCUCUAUCUUCAACUCUAAAAUUUUUAAGGUUGUGAAUACAAAGAAUAUAGAAAUACAUUUAUAAUCGAUGGAAGUCAAUGAUUCUAUAACAAGUCAAAAACAUAACUCAUUAACGAAUGGAUUCACGAACCAAAUCAAUGAAAUCCAAUACAUUAACGAAUGGAUUCACGAACCAAAUCAAUGAAAUCCAAUACACGCGGAUCGAGAAAGCUCGACAUGGGCUCUGACAGAUCAAACCGAACUGCAUCGUCAGACCUAGACCCAUUAUCGGGUCGCCGCCACCGGCUGCGCCAUUAUGUAGGCUCCAUUGUCGGUCUCCCCGCAGCUGUGCCGUCUUGGUCGACAUUCAGAUUGAUACCUGAUUUUUACAAUCUCAAAACAUAUUUUAUUUUUAUUUUUAUUUUUCUUUAUCACAUGCUUAAAGAAUACAUUUUGUUUGAAAUCUGAUUUAAUGUUCUAACAAUGUUUGAAAUAUGAUUUAAUGUUCUAACAAAUAAAAUGACAAAUUCUAACUACCAUUUCUUUAUUCAUAAGGGAAAAAGUGUCAAUGAAACUUCAUUGUCAACAACACAUAUUGCAUUUUUUUAGAGGUUAUAUCUAGUAACCUGUUUUUAAACUAUCAAGAUUAAAAGAUAAGAAAGGAUAAAUUUAUACUUUCAACAUUAAGGUGAGGCACAUAAAUUAAGAAAGGAUAGUACUAGUAUACCCCAUCUACCCAAUCAUUGUCUCCAUACAAUGCAUAAGCCAAGCAUAAAAAGGAAUAUGGUGAGCACUAACCAACCUUUUGCUUGCAAUUGGUCGAAGUUUUGACAUGUUUAUAAAUUUUCUAGUUUGUUUUAGACGCAUGCUAUGUAUUGUUCAUUCAUCAAUUCUUUCUUGAGUUUUGUUCCAAUUUCUCUAAGUAUUUUUAUACCUUUCUUUUAUUUAAUAAUAUUUUUAGAGUGUGAUAAUUGAUAUAUUAAAAUGUUAUAGUUUGUUAUGUGUUUGUUACUUUUAUACUUUUAAAAAAAAAUUGUUUUAAAAAUUAUAGAAUAUUCAAGUAACAUGCAGCAAGCCAACCUGGCUUUGCAAGGACUUAAUAAUAAGUCCAAAACUCAAUUAAGCUGCCAUUCGUGUGGAUACAUGCCAGUGCCCAUCAAACAAAAACUUCAAAGCUUGACUUGUUUGACCAUUGAGAGAUUAAUUCAAAAUUUAUUUGGUUAUUUCGAUUGUUUUGGUAUAAUUUGUCUCUAACCAUUCUCGAAAAUAGAGCAAAUAGUAUUAAUAUAUAUUGUUGAAAAUGACUUUUUAUUGAAAAUUUUCUUUCGGUUCAUUCAUUGUGGUCCAUCAGGAGUAGAGUAAGACACUUCUUGAUGACAACAUGAAUCCACCAGGCUCAUAGAUAACAAAUGCUAUCAGAAUAAAGGAUAAUUUGACACAUUUUUUAAGGAAUAAAAUUCCUUUUACAUACAUACAUACAUACAUAUAUAUAUAUAUAUAUAAUAUUAUAUAUAUAUAUAUAUAUAUAUAUAUAUAUAUAUAUAUAUAUAUAUAUAUAAUACAUAUAUAUAUAUAUAUAUAUAUAUAUAUAUAUAUAUAUAUAUAUAAACCCCACUAUCCAUUUUGAAUGUUAAAGUCAACUAUAUCUAUUACUGUAAUUUAUAGGACACUAUAUUAAUAUUGUUAUGGAUGGUAUUUUAGACUCUUCGUAAAAUUAAAACGGUCAAAGACAAUAAAUAUGAAUUUAUAUGGAUUGUCAGAACAUAUUUUUUCAUUUUUAACUUCUUGAAGUGGUAUUAAAGACGGUUUGUCUCAUAGUAAAACGUCUAGACCUCGGUUCCACCAAUGGAGAAAUCUCAAUCAAGUUCACACGCAUAUGUUUUUCUUCUAUCCAACCAUAUAAAAGAAUAUUUGUUGACCUAAGCGUCGAUCUCCUCUUCUGUGCAUCAAAAAAUUCACAUGCACCUUCUUCUUAACAUAUAAUUAUAUCUUCCAAAAUAUAUAAAAUAAUACAUCCUAAUAAAUUCAUGUCGGCACUUUAAGUCUCUAAGCUCCUUAAAAUGAAUAAUGUGUUUCUCAAAUGUACCCAAAUACGUCUUACGACAAAAUGACAAACCUCGUCCAUAGGAAAUAAGGGAAUCAUAGGACAAUAUCUAAGGAUUUUACGAUACUCUACCGAUGACAUGUGUUGACGUAACCCACCAAUAGGAAUAGCAAAGGAAAAAUCCCGAGCAUGUGCGGCUUGCACAUAACCAACAUCUCCUUUCUAUCUUGGAGUCAUAUCAAACUUUACGUCUAUAUCUUGAAUACUUUUACUAAAAAACACUCGCCAAAAUAUGUUUUGUUUUAGGAGAGUUGGUGUCUUGCUAAUAAAAUAGCUAAUAUCAAAAUUUAUGGCCUAUUUGGAUAAACAUCAUAUUUGCAGCUUAUAACACAAGUGCUUAGCAAAGUAAGUGCUUAUGAAUACACUCGCCUAAGUUAUUUUUUUAACAAAAGAUAAAAUAAUUUUAAAAUGUUUUUAUAUAUUUUAUAAGUUGUUUUUAUUAUCUAUCUUGAAGAAUUUAUAAAAAUAAAUUAAAGAAAAUUAUGAAAAAUGUCAUAAGCUAUUUUGAUUAAGUCUUCCAAAUAGUGUCAUAAAAUUUAUGAUAGUAGAUAGGCUCAAAUAAGCCUAUCCAAAUAGAUCAUAAUGUUGAUAAUGUAUCAAGUGUGAGUAGUGUGGAUAAUAAUCCUACAUUGGUUGAAAAUGUGGAGACUUGAGCAUUUAUAAGUAAGAGAAUCCACUCACCUAUCACCUUAAGAUUUUGGGUGAAUAUAUGGUAUGUCUCUCACAAAGGUGUUGCUCUAAGAAAAAGAAGUCUCACAAUGUUCAAUGCUCCCUAGUGAAAACCCCCCCAACAAAUGGGGUAUCAGAGCUCCGGUUUAAACGGUUUGUGGAAAGAAAAUCACCAUGGCAGCGAAUCAUCCAAAUCAUCCAAACAGUCAUUUUCCAGCAAAUCUCUGAUUCUCAAGAACAACAAUUAUGAGAAUUGGUGCAAGCAGAUAAAAGUUGUGUUCUGUUAUCAAGAUCUUUGGGAUCUUGUGAAGGAAGGAGUAGCAACGCUUGCAGAAGCCGCGACAGAUCAAGAAAAGUCUGCACAUAAAGAAUUGAAGAAGAAAGAUUAUAAAGCUCUCUUUAUAAUCCAUCAAUCUGUUGAUGCAGAUAACUUUGAAAAAGUUAGUGAUGCAGAGUCAGCGAAAGAAACAUGGGAAAUUAUGGAGAAAUCGUUUGGAGGCGCGGAAAAGGUGAAAGAGGUGAGGUUACAAACUCACAAAAGAACGUAUGAAUUGUUUCAGAUGGAAGACAAUGAAAGCAUAAGUGAUUUUUUCACCAAGGUUAUGAAACUGAACGUAUGAAUUGUUUCAGAUGGAAGACAAUGAAAGCAUAACUGAUUUUUUCACCAAGGUUAUGAAACUGAACGUAUGAAUUGUUUCAGAUGGAAGACAAUGAAAGCAUAACUGAUUUUUUCACCAAGGUUAUGAAACUGGUGAAUCAAAUCAAGGUAUGUGGAGAAGUGUUGACAUCAAGAUCCGUUGUUGGAAAGAUCUUGAGGUCGUUGACUCCAAAGUUUGACCACGUGGUAGUAUCCAGAGAAGAGUCGAAAGAUUUGUCAAAACAAAGGAAGAGCUUCAAGGGACGCUUGAAUCUCAUGAACAAAGAAUGGCUGAAAAAGCUGCAGGAAAGUCGAAGACUGAUAUGACUUUGCAGGCUCAAUCAAAAAAAGAAAGAAAAGGAAAAGGAAGUUGGAAUGACAACAAAGGUAGAGGAGGUUACAACAAUUCUACUGGUCAAAAUCAGCAAGAAGGAAACUGGUCAAAUCAGAGAAAAUCCUGGAACCAAGGCAACCAAAGAGGUGGUGUUGUAGGUAGAGGAAGAGGUGGUGGUUAAAAUCCAGACAAGAGUCACAUUCAGUGUUACAAUUGUCAAAGGUAUGGUCACUAUUCUAGUGAUUGUCCAAAAAAGCAGAAGAAUCAAGAAACUUAUGCAAAGCUGGCGAAACAUGAAGAAGAAGAGACAUUGUUGAUGGUUACAACAAGAGAUGAAGAGAGAUUCAAGGACCAAUGGUACUUGGACUCAGGAUGCUCAUCGCACAUGUCUGGAAGGAAAGAUUGGUUUAUCAACAUAGAUCCCUCAAUGAAGAACAUGGAAAAUUUGCAAAUGACAAUACUCUAACAGCUGAAGGUGUUGGUGAUGUUCUGAUUAUGAGGAAAGAUGGCAAGAAGUCAAUAAUUUCAAAUGUGUUGUACAUACCAGGCAUGAAGAGCAAUUUGCUCAGCAUAGGACAGUUAUUCGAAAAUAACUACAAGGUGUCAAUCGAAGACAAGAUGAUGGGAGUUCUCGACUCAAAUGGAAGGUUAAUCUUGAAGGCUCCAAUGUCUCAGAAUAGAAACUUAAAGAUUUAGCUUAAUGUGAUGGAGCAUAAGUGCCUUACAACAGCAGUCAUCAGAUAUGAAUGGAUAUGGCAUUAUACACUUGGUCAUCUCUAUUUCAAAGACAUCAGAUAUUUGAAGAGAAGAAAUAUAGUUUCAGGAUUACCAGAAAUCGAUAUUCCAAACAAAGUGUGUGAAGAAUGUUUGCAGGCGAAGCAUCACAAGAACAACUUCAGUAAGGAUGCAAGAAGCAGGUCGAAGGAAAUUCUUGAAGUCAUAUACUCUGAUGUAUGUGGUCCUCUCCAGGUGGAUUAGAUUGGAGGUAACAAAUACUUUGUUAUAUUCAUAGAUGAUUUCAGUUGAAAACUGUGGUCUUACCUGACUAAGAAGAAAAGUGAAGUGAUCGAGGUAUUUGCCAAGUUUAAAUCUAUGGUCGAAAGAUCAAGAUUUUAAGGACUGAUGGUGGUGGAGAAUAUGUCUCGAAAUACUUCAAUGCGUUAUGUGUGAAUGAAGGGAUUGUGCAUGACGUGGUGCCACCCUACACUCCACAACAUAAUGGAGUCGCAUAAAGGAAGAAUAUAACCAUUAUGAAUAUGGUUAGAAGUAUGUUAAAAGACAAGCAUUUAUCCAAAGAAUUAUGGGGAGAAGCUGUGUCGAUUGUGACAUAUAUCCUGAACAGAUGUCCGACGAAGAAGCUAGAAGGAAUCACGCCAGAAGAAUGUUGGUCUGGUGUCAAGCCUAACUUGAGUCAUCUGAAGGUGUUUGGAUCUAUAGCACAUAGACAUGUGCCAGAUUAGUUGAGAAUAAAACUUGAUGACAAGUCGAAUCAGAUGAUCCUGAUAGGAUAUCAUUCGUCUGGAGGAUACAAGUUGUUCGACCCAAUGAAUAAGCAAGUGGUGAUCAGUAGGGACAUGAUCAUAGAUGAGCUUAAGGAGUGAGAUUGGACUGAGAAUGUCAAGAAAGAUUCAGUGAGAAUCUUUUGUGAUGAACUAGCUAGUGAAGUCGAAAGAGAAGUUCGACAGGAAGAAGUCAGAGGUGAAGCAUGCCCAAGCAGACCUCAAAGAACAAGACAUAUGCCUGCAAGGUUGCAAUAAUGUGUGAUUACAUCAGAUGAUAUGGUCAACGAAGAAGGUGAGCUGGUACACUAUGCUUUCUAUGCAUAUGUUGAACCAAUCAAUGCAGCUGAGGCAUUGAAAGAUUCAAAUUAGAUGAAAGCAAUGGACGAAGAUUUGAAGUGAAUCGAAGUCAACAACACUUGGUCACUUAUCGAAUUUCCCCAAGACAAGAAGGUAAUCAAUGUGAAGUGGGUAUAUAAGGUGCAAUUGAAUCCCAGAGGAGAAGUGAAUCGACACAAAGCAAGACUUGUGGAGAAAGGAUUUCUUCAGAAAGAAGGAAUCGACUUCGAUUAAGUUUUUGCACCUAUUGCUAGGAUCGAAACAAUCAGGUUGGUUGUUGGUCUAGCAAAUAUGAACAACUGGCAGAUGUCUCAGAUGGAUGUGAAAUGUGCAUUUCUUAAUGGCCCAUUAAAAGGAGAAGUUUAUGUUGCACGACCAGCCGGGUUUGUGAAACAAGGCGAAGAAUAAAAGGUGUACAGGCUGCAUAAAGCCCUGUACGGACUUAAACAAGCUCCAAGAGCUUGGAACAAGAAGAUAGAUGACUUUCUAAGGAAGAUGGAAUUCGUGAAGUGCAAAUCUGAACAUUGAGUAUAUGUAAGAAGAAGCAAGAGUGAAUUGCUUAUACUAUAUCUCCAUGUCGAUGACCUGUUGAUAACAGGUUGUUGUAAGAAAGAGAUCGAAGACUUCAAAGGUGAUAUCAACAAGGAAUUUGAAAUGUCAGAUUUGGGUGACAUUUCAUAUUUCCUUGUCAUCGAAUUAUACAAGAGUGGUAUAGGUUUGAUGAUGCAUCCAAGAAGGUAUGCAAGCGAAAUACUUAAGAGAUUUAAGAUGCAAGAUUGCAACCUAACUUCGACUCCAUCUGAGCCCAGAUUACAACUAUCAAAAGAUUCAGAUUCAGAUGAUGUCGAUCCAACCCAAUAUAGAAGACUUAUUGGGUCACUUUGAUACCUUUGUCAUACAAGGCAUGACUUAGCAUACAAUGUAGGUAUGAUGAGGAGGUUCAUGCAGAAGCCAAAGGUAUCACAUGUAGCAGCGACAAAGAGGAUACUAAGGUAUCUGAAAGGAACUCUCGACUAUGGUAUUUUGUUUCCUGCAGCUAAUGAAGGAAAAUAAUGCAAACUAGUGGAAUACACUGGCUUAAGUUGGUGUAGUGAUGCUGAGGAUCGAAAAUCCACAGCGGGCUAUGUGUUUAUGCUAGGUGGUGCACCAGCUGCUUGGAGUUCGAGAAAGCAGCCAAUAAUGGAAUUAUCAUCAUGCGAAGCAGAAUAUAUAGUUUCUUCUCUUUGUGCAUGUCAAACAACAUGGAUGGUGAAUCUGGUCGAAGAGAUAACAACGAAGAGUCAUGGAGCAAUUACCAUGAAGAUCGACAACAUGUCAGCUAUCAAUCUGGCGAGGAAUCCGAUAGCACAUGGUCGAAGCAAGCACAUCAAGAUGAGUUUCCAUUAUCUUCAAGAGCAGGUAACAAAUGGGAAGAUGAAUGUGGAACACUACAAAACUGAGAAUCAGAUUGCAGACAUCAUGACGAAGGGAGUGCAAGUCGAAGUGUUCAGAAGACAAAGAGCUAUGAUGAAUGUAGAUAGCUUAGACACAAUGAAUUAAGUGGUGUGUUGAAUUGUAAUUCCUUGUGUCGAAGCAGGUUACUCGACAGAAGCAAGGAAAUAUCGAACCACCUAGUGUGUUGAGUUGUGUUAGUGUGUCGAAGUGUCAAAGCAUGUUGCUUCGCACAAGAUUUCGACCUAGGCCUAUUUUAGUAGUGUUAACUAUUUCACGCUUUUAUAGUUUUGGGCUUUGGCUUGAGGUCCAAGUUAACCUAAAUUUAUAAAUAGAGGGAGUAACCCUUACUCUUGUAAUGAAGUGAAUAGAGUAUUCAUAACAUUGUAUUCACAGUAUUUUGCAGUUGCAAAGUGAAUAAGAAGUUUUCCAUAAUUUGUGGACAGAGAGAAACUCUGUAGAAUUUUAAUCUUCAUCAAGAUUGAUUGAAAUUCUCCAUUGUUUUUGGGUGAAUAUGUGAUGUGUCUCUCACAAAGGCGUUUCUCUAAAAAAAAGGAAGUCCCACAAUGUUCAAUGCUCUCUAGUGAAAAAACUCCCCCAACAAAUGGUAUCAUGAGCAUUUGGUUCGAGAAAUGGACCGACUUACUUGUAUUAAAAAUCAAUGGUGCCAGUGUGGUGAAUAAGAAAUGUUCUGUGCGGUACAAGAGUUUGUAGAAGUAAGAAGAACUUUCACUUGAUGGAGAGCAUUAUGGACUCACACUUGAGGGGGAGUGUUGAGAAUGUAUCAAGUGUGAGUAGUGUGGAUAAUAGUCCCACAUUAGUUAAAAAUAUGGAGACUCAAGCAUUUAUAAGUAAGAGAGCCCACCCACCUAUCGCCUUAAGAUUUUGGAUGAAUAUGUGGUGUGUCUCUCACAAAGAGGUUGCUCUAAGAAAAAGAAGUCUCACAAUGUUCAAUGCUCCCUAGUGAAAAACUCCCCCAACACAUAAGACCAUUCAAAGCAUUGUCGAAAUCAGAGUUUAUACCAUAUAUUCCACUAUUUCUCAAUAUAUGAUAUAAUAACAUCUAAUAUUGAGUUCUAGAAAAAAAAAGCGUAUGAGACAUCCUCUAACAACUGACUACAAACCCAAUCCCUCAUUCUAAUGAGUAAAGAAACCACCUUCUAUUAAAGGCCUCUGAAGAAAGGACCUUUGUCAACCACAAUGUCUUCAACCGCUUUUUGCAACUCUUGAUCAAACUAAAUAGUUGAUUUCUCCAUAUGAUUAGAUUGACACAUUCUUAGAUUGAAAAAUAGUUUAUCGAUACCCAUACAAAAUCGAAAUAGAACAAACUUAUUAUGAAAAUCUCUUAGUUGUGGCAGAAGAUACAUUAACUUAAUAGUCCUAAUAAUUCUCUUCAUAAAAAAUCCUUCAAUAAAACCUAUAUCUCGACUAACAUGUCAUUCAAACAACUUCAUCUUAAAUAUGAUUAUAUAAUAAAUAAGAAUAAGAUAUAAACUAAUUUCCUCACUUUUCCAAUUCUAGACAGCUAAAAAGACAUGGAAAAUUUGCUUUAGAAAAGGCUUCUUAAUAAAUAACAAAUUGAAAACUCAAAAAUAAAGAUGUAAAGUGAAUAAACCAUUACAUAGUUGAAUACGGACCUACCAACCACUAUGUCAAUGGUUAUGAACUUAACAUUAAAAAGGGUGCUAUCCCUUUAUUAGCAGGUAUUUUAUGUAUCUUAUUUGCCUUUCAAAUCUUCAAUCAUGACUAAGAAUAAUGUUUUGUGCUCGACAAAAUCAUUCUAAGUCUAGCAACAUUUUUAAUGGAGAAAAACUACUUUGAAUAACAAGUUUUGUGUUCAUAUGAACCUUUCCUAAAUACAAUGUUUGGUGUGAAAAUGAAACAAUGAUGGAAUGCGAUUUAUCAUCUUUAAUCAUAUAGAUGAGCUUUAAAAUGUAUGAACUACAAUUAGUUUGAGGAAUAUAAUACUAUUGUGGAGGAAAAUAAUAUUUGGGCUUGCAUUUUUUAUUGCUUUACUAGAUGUUCAUUAUUGCUUCUAUUAUGUGGUUUUGAAAAUAUUAAAAUCAUUCCUUCUUUUUAUUUUCAUUUUUUAGUUUUUCUUUUGUGCCUAUCAAAUGCAUAUUAAUCAUAGCUAUAAUUCGGUGUUGGAUAUCAUCUAACGGUUUCUCGUACGUCAAAUAUGAUAUGUUUUAACUAUAAUUUAUUCUCACACCAUUUUUCAUUUAAAAUAUUGAUCUUACAAAUUAAUUAUUUUUUGUCAUUUCAAAAACUUGCUCCUUCGCGUAAAAAAUCUUACUUCGAUCCAUUAAGACUUCGUUACACAUUUCAUGAAAAGUUUCUUUUUGAAACAUAAAUAAAUGUGAUUUAGAAUUAUUAUUUUUUGAGUAUAGUACUUGCACUUUUAAGCACUAAAACAUAUAAAAAAAUAGUUGGUAUCUGAAGUUUUGUUGAAUAUUGAUAACAUAUAAAUAAAAAUAAUUUAACAAAACUUUAAAAUAUGAAAGUGAUCGUACAAAUAAAACAUGAUUUUUAUAUUCGGCGGUAGCAAAUUACCGGCUUAAAUCAUCUGUCCUUAAAAAUUGUCGUUAUGUGAAGUGAAUCAUGCAUCUGCAUGAGUCUAUUCAUGACAUAUAGAUACACCAAAAAAAAA